rnacentral:pre_miRNA from 1 species
UGUUAAGUUUUGGGGUACGUGUCAGAGGUGCAUUUACAUCGAGCUAUUCCAUUUGAGGUAUUUGUAAAUGCACUAUCUGGUACGACAUUCCAGAAUCGAUAUUCGA